GGCCUCUCAAUGUUGCACCUUGGAGAAUUUCCAGUACUCCACAAGUCUCGGCUAUGGGAGGGAGUGUCAAGCAGAGGCCUACCCAUUCCAUUCCUAGCUUGGGCAGUGGCUAGUGAGUGGAAGACAAUCUGCUACAAGU